rnacentral:rRNA from 1 species
UUAAGUUAUUAAGGGCGCACGGUGGAUGCCUUGGCACUAGAAGCCGAUGAAGGACGUUACUAACGACGAUAUGCUUUGGGGAGCUGUAAGUAAGCUUUGAUCCAGAGAUUUCCGAAUGGGGAAACCCAGCAUGAGUUAUGUCAUGUUAUCGAUAUGUGAAUACAUAGCAUAUCAGAAGGCACACCCGGAGAACUGAAACAUCUUAGUACCCGGAGGAAGAGAAAGAAAAUUCGAUUCCCUUAGUAGCGGCGAGCGAAACGGGAAGAGCCCAAACCAACAAGCUUGCUUGUUGGGGUUGUAGGACACUCUAUACGGAGUUACAAAGGACGACAUUAGACGAAUCAUCUGGAAAGAUGAAUCAAAGAAGGUAAUAAUCCUGUAGUCGAAAAUGUUGUCUCUCUUGAGUGGAUCCUGAGUACGACGGAGCACGUGAAAUUCCGUCGGAAUCUGGGAGGACCAUCUCCUAAGGCUAAAUACUCUCUAGUGACCGAUAGUGAACCAGUACCGUGAGGGAAAGGUGAAAAGCACCCCGGAAGGGGAGUGAAAUAGAACCUGAAACCGUGUGCUUACAAGUAGUCAGAGCCCGUUAAUGGGUGAUGGCGUGCCUUUUGUAGAAUGAACCGGCGAGUUACGAUUUGAUGCAAGGUUAAGCAGUAAAUGUGGAGCCGUAGCGAAAGCGAGUCUGAAUAGGGCGUUUAGUAUUUGGUCGUAGACCCGAAACCAGGUGAUCUACCCUUGGUCAGGUUGAAGUUCAGGUAACACUGAAUGGAGGACCGAACCGACUUACGUUGAAAAGUGAGCGGAUGAACUGAGGGUAGCGGAGAAAUUCCAAUCGAACCUGGAGAUAGCUGGUUCUCUCCGAAAUAGCUUUAGGGCUAGCCUCAAGUGAUGAUUAUUGGAGGUAGAGCACUGUUUGGACGAGGGGCCCCUCUCGGGUUACCGAAUUCAGACAAACUCCGAAUGCCAAUUAAUUUAACUUGGGAGUCAGAACAUGGGUGAUAAGGUCCGUGUUCGAAAGGGAAACAGCCCAGACCACCAGCUAAGGUCCCAAAAUAUAUGUUAAGUGGAAAAGGAUGUGGCGUUGCCCAGACAACUAGGAUGUUGGCUUAGAAGCAGCCAUCAUUUAAAGAGUGCGUAAUAGCUCACUAGUCGAGUGACACUGCGCCGAAAAUGUACCGGGGCUAAACAUAUUACCGAAGCUGUGGAUUGUCCUUUGGACAAUGGUAGGAGAGCGUUCUAAGGGCGUUGAAGCAUGAUCGUAAGGACAUGUGGAGCGCUUAGAAGUGAGAAUGCCGGUGUGAGUAGCGAAAGACGGGUGAGAAUCCCGUCCACCGAUUGACUAAGGUUUCCAGAGGAAGGCUCGUCCGCUCUGGGUUAGUCGGGUCCUAAGCUGAGGCCGACAGGCGUAGGCGAUGGAUAACAGGUUGAUAUUCCUGUACCACCUAUAAUCGUUUUAAUCGAUGGGGGGACGCAGUAGGAUAGGCGAAGCGUGCGAUUGGAUUGCACGUCUAAGCAGUAAGGCUGAGUAUUAGGCAAAUCCGGUACUCGUUGAGGCUGAGCUGUGAUGGGGAGAAGACAUUGUGUCUUCGAGUCGUUGAUUUCACACUGCCGAGAAAAGCCUCUAGAUAGAAAAUAGGUGCCCGUACCGCAAACCGACACAGGUAGUCAAGAUGAGAAUUCUAAGGUGAGCGAGCGAACUCUCGUUAAGGAACUCGGCAAAAUGACCCCGUAACUUCGGGAGAAGGGGUGCUCUUUAGGGUUAACGCCCAGAAGAGCCGCAGUGAAUAGGCCCAAGCGACUGUUUAUCAAAAACACAGGUCUCUGCUAAACCGUAAGGUGAUGUAUAGGGGCUGACGCCUGCCCGGUGCUGGAAGGUUAAGAGGAGUGGUUAGCUUCUGCGAAGCUACGAAUCGAAGCCCCAGUAAACGGCGGCCGUAACUAUAACGGUCCUAAGGUAGCGAAAUUCCUUGUCGGGUAAGUUCCGACCCGCACGAAAGGCGUAACGAUUUGGGCACUGUCUCAACGAGAGACUCGGUGAAAUCAUAGUACCUGUGAAGAUGCAGGUUACCCGCGACAGGACGGAAAGACCCCGUGGAGCUUUACUGUAGCCUGAUAUUGAAAUUCGGCACAGCUUGUACAGGAUAGGUAGGAGCCUUUGAAACGUGAGCGCUAGCUUACGUGGAGGCGCUGGUGGGAUACUACCCUAGCUGUGUUGGCUUUCUAACCCGCACCACUUAUCGUGGUGGGAGACAGUGUCAGGCGGGCAGUUUGACUGGGGCGGUCGCCUCCUAAAAGGUAACGGAGGCGCUCAAAGGUUCCCUCAGAAUGGUUGGAAAUC